AUGCUUGGCGCCGCGCUGGCAGCCACUGGGCCGCCGCUGGGGCCGGCGGGUGGCCGGUUGAACCCGACCAGGGAUGC
rnacentral:tRNA from 1 species